rnacentral:rRNA from 1 species
CCUACGGGAGGCAGCAGUAGGGAAUAUUGCUCAAUGGGGGAAACCCUGAAGCAGCAACGCCGCGUGGAGGAUGAAGGUUCUCGGAUUGUAAACUCCUUUUGUUAGAGAAGAUAAUGACGGUAUCUAACGAACAAGCACCGGCUAAGUCCGAGCCAGCAGCCGCGGUAACACGGAGGGUGCAAGCGUUACUCGGAAUCACUGGGCGUAAAGAGCGCGUAGGCGGGAUAGCAAGUCAGAUGUGAAAUCCUAGGGCUUAACCAUAGAACUGCAUUUGAAACUGUUAUUCUAGAGUAUGGGAGAGGUAGGUGGAAUUCUUGGUGUAGGAGUAAAAUCCGUAGAGAUCAAGAGGAAUACUCAUUGCGAAGGCGGCCUGCUGGAACAUAACUGACGCUGAUGCACGAAGGCGUGGGGAGCGAACAGGAUUAGAUACCCUUGUAGUC